rnacentral:rRNA from 1 species
GCGUCGAGUGGCGGACGGGUGAGUAACGCGUAGGAAUCUGCCAGAUAGUGGGGGAUAGCCCGGAGAAAUCCGGAUUAAUACCGCAUAAUCUCCAUGGAGUAAAGAGGGCCUCUAUUUAUAAGCUUUCGCUAUCUGAUGAGCCUGCGUAAGAUUAGCUAGUUGGUGGGGUAAUGGCCUACCAAGGCGACGAUCUUUAGCUGGUCUGAGAGGAUGAUCAGCCACACUGGGACUGAGACACGGCCCAGACUCCUACGGGAGGCAGCAGUGGGGAAUAUUGGACAAUGGGGGCAACCCUGAUCCAGCAAUACCGCGUGUGUGAAGAAGGCCUGAGGGUUGUAAAGCACUUUCAAUUGUGAAGAAAAGUUAAUAGUUAAUACCUAUUAGCCUUGACGUUAACUUUAGAAGAAGCACCGGCUAACUCCGUGCCAGCAGCCGCGGUAAUACGGAGGGUGCAAGCGUUAAUCGGAAUUACUGGGCGUAAAGCGUGCGUAGGCGGUUGACUAAGUCAGAUGUGAAAGCCCCGGGCUUAACCUGGGAACUGCAUUUGAAACUGGUCAACUAGAGUAUGGUAGAGGAAAGUGGAAUUUCUGGUGUAGCGGUGAAAUGCGUAGAUAUCAGAAGGAACAUCGAUGGCGAAGGCAGCUUUCUGGACCAAUACUGACGCUGAG